GGGGAUGGAAAACUUGUUUGAUAUGCCUAAAUUGCAUGCUACUUUGAUACCUCAAAAUUUACAAGAUAAGGAGACACUCUAAACAAAACUAUUUGCUGCGUUAUUUCAUUUCAUUGCAACCAUUUUAGAGUACAACAUCAUAAUUUCAAAGUCCAUGCGAAAUUACAAAGGAAAAAAGAUGAAGAAGAAAAAUACAAUUAUUCGGUAUAUGCAUAAAAACUAAAUGACAUCUCGUGGAACAUUCUAACAUAAUAAGCAUAUUAUAAAAUUUCUACACAUUGGCCUUUACGACACCUAAUAUUAUGUGGUGGCUUUUUUGGACAAUCUUUAUCCGUUUUACAAGGUUUAUUAACAAUGCCGGGAAUAUAACCAUAUACUGUUAUGGAAAGAAAUAUGGAAAUAAAUAGAAUAAGAACAUAAACAUAGUUUAGAGUUUUGGCCAUAUU
rnacentral:lncRNA from 1 species